AGCGAACGCUGGCGGCAUGCUUAACACAUGCAAGUCGCACGAACCUUUCGGGGUUAGUGGCGGACGGGUGAGUAACGCGUAGGUAUCUAUCCAUGGGUGGGGGAUAACUCUGGGAAACUGGAGCUAAUACCGCAUGACACCUGAGGGUCAAAGGCGUAAGUCGCCUGUGGAGGAGUCUGCGUUCGAUUAGCUAGUUGGUGGGGUAACUGCCUACCAAGGCGAUGAUCGAUAGCUGGUCUGAGAGGAUGAUCAGCCACACUGGGACUGAGACACGGCCCAG
rnacentral:rRNA from 1 species